GGCAGGCAUGUGCAGGAAUAACCGUAGGUUGUCCGAAAGGACAGCAACGCGUAUAGCGUGGGAUCCUACGGCCUGAGGCCUGCAUUUUU
rnacentral:ncRNA from 1 species